rnacentral:rRNA from 1 species
UACGUAGGGUGCAAGCGUUGUCCGGAAUUAUUGGGCGUAAAGAGCUCGUAGGCGGUUUGUCGCGUCGAAUGUGAAAACCCGGGGCUCAACCCCGGGCCUGCAUUCGAUACGGGCAGACUAGAGUUCGGUAGGGGAGUCUGGAAUUCCUGGUGUAGCGGUGAAAUGCGCAGAUAUCAGGAGGAACACCGGUGGCGAAGGCGGGACUCUGGGCCGAUACUGACGCUCAGGUGCGAAAGCGUGGGGAGCAAACAGG